GUGUGUUGUUGUCUGCCGCCACUGCUGCUUGAAGGUGCUGGUGGUGUUUGCUCCUUGGGACAACGAAGGUGGGCAAGUCGGAGAGCCGAGCCUCUCCCAUGGUGGACUGGCUGGUAUUUUUGGCUCCUCCACUGCCGGGUCUAAGCAGGGAGCCCCUGGCUAGCAUGCCGUGGCUCGGGCUGCGGCUCGAUGGGGCUGCGCGGGGAGGACAGACCUGGCGCUCCAAGGAAUUUCGAAUAUUUAUUUCUCGAUGGAGCAGAAUUAGCAUAUGGAGAGGCAAGUUCUUCUUCGUGUAAUGAGUACCAGAAGUUUAUCCAGAAGAUGAACCCUCCAAGGUGCCACCAUUUCCUCAAGACAUGUCAAUAUUAAUACUGCAAAGUCAUUUGUAUAGAAAUAGUACCAAUUGCUAACAGUGUGGUACACAUUUUGUAAUUCAGAAUCAUGAUUUACAGCACAUCAUAUGCAAUUGCCAUAGUUGAUCAUGUAGGUACCUGGCUACCUGCCAAGUGAACAAGUCUUUUAGUGUAUAAUUGUAUAUAUUGUUUGGUUGGUUACUGAAUACAGUGAGGUUUUUUUU